rnacentral:rRNA from 1 species
UCAUUAUGGUGCGAGCGUGAAUCGGAAUUACUGGGCGUAAAGCGUGCGCAGGCGGAUUGUUAAGCAAGAUGUGAAAUCCCCGGGCUUAACCUGGGAAUGGCAUUUUGAACUGGCAGUCUAGAGUGUGUCAGAGGGGGGUGGAAUUCCACGUGUAGCAGUGAAAUGCGUAGAUAUGUGGAGGAACACCAAUGGCGAAGGCAGCCCCCUGGGAUAACACUGACGCUCAUGUACGCAAGCGGGGGUCGCACACAGGCGGCGAUCACCCCGUAGUCC